rnacentral:rRNA from 1 species
GAUGAACGCUAGCGGCAGGCCUAACACAUGCAAGUCGAGGGGCAGCACAUAAAGUGGUUUACUACUUUUGGUGGCGACCGGCGGACGGGUGCGUAACGCGUAUGCAACCUGCCUCCAACAGGGGGAUAACGGAGAGAAAUUUCCACUAAUACCCCAUAAUAUCAGAAUCGGCAUCGGUUUUGGUUGAAAACUCCGGUGGUUGGAGAUGGGCAUGCGUUGUAUUAGAUAGUUGGUGAGAUAACGGCUCACCAAGUCAACGAUACAUAGGGGGACUGCGAGGUUAGCCCCCCACACUGGUACUGAGACACGGACCAGACUCCUACGGGAGGCAGCAGUGAGGAAUAUUGGUCAAUGGGGGCAACCCUGAACCAGCCAUGCCGCGUGCAGGAAGACGGCUCUAUGAGUUGUAAACUGCUUUUACAAGGGGAUAAAUCGGUGUACGUGUACACCGUUGAAGGUACCUUGGGAAUAAGGAUCGGCUAACUCCGUGCCAGCAGCCGCCGUAA